AGUGGGGUAGAGCAGCUUGGUAGCUCGUCAGGCUCAUAACCUGAAGGUCGUUGGUUCAAAUCCAGCCCCCACAACCA
rnacentral:tRNA from 1 species